rnacentral:rRNA from 1 species
GACGAACGCUGGCGGCGUGCUUAACACAUGCAAGUCGAACGGAAAGGCCCUGCUUUUGUGGGGUGCUCGAGUGGCGAACGGGUGAGUAACACGUGAGUAACCUGCCCUUGACUUUGGGAUAACUUCAGGAAACUGGGGCUAAUACCGGAUAGGAGCUCCUGCUGCAUGGUGGGGGUUGGAAAGUUUCGGCGGUUGGGGAUGGACUCGCGGCUUAUCAGCUUGUUGGUGGGGUAGUGGCUUACCAAGGCUUCGACGGGUAGCCGGCCUGAGAGGGUGACCGGCCACAUUGGGACUGAGAUACGGCCCAGACUCCUACGGGAGGCAGCAGUGGGGAAUAUUGCACAAUGGGCGGAAGCCUGAUGCAGCAACGCCGCGUGCGGGAUGACGGCCUUCGGGUUGUAAACCGCUUUCGCCUGUGACGAAGCGUGAGUGACGGUAAUGGGUAAAGAAGCACCGGCUAACUACGUGCCAGCAGCCGCGGUGAUACGUAGGGUGCGAGCGUUGUCCGGAUUUAUUGGGCGUAAAGGGCUCGUAGGUGGUUGAUCGCGUCGGAAGUGUAAUCUUGGGGCUUAACCCUGAGCGUGCUUUCGAUACGGGUUGACUUGAGGAAGGUAGGGGAGAAUGGAAUUCCUGGUGGAGCGGUGGAAUGCGCAGAUAUUAGGAGGAACACCAGUGGCGAAGGCGGUUCUCUGGGCCUUUCCUGACGCUGAGGAGCGAAAGCGUGGGGAGCGAACAGGCUUAGAUACCCUGGUAGUCCACGCUGUAAACGGUGGGUACUAGGUGUGGGGUCCAUUCCACGGGUUCCGUGCCGUAGCUAACGCUUUAAGUACCCCGCCUGGGGAGUACGGCCGCAAGGCUAAAACUCAAAGGAAUUGACGGGGCCCCGCACAAGCGGCGGAGCAUGCGGAUUAAUUCGAUGCAACGCGUAGAACCUUACCUGGGUUUGACAUGGGUCGGGAGUGCUCAGAGAUGGGUGUGCCUCUUUUGGGGUCGGUUCACAGGUGGUGCAUGGCUGUCGUCAGCUCGUGUCGUGAGAUGUUGGGUUAAGUCCCGCAACGAGCGCAACCCUUGUUCACUGUUGCCAGCACGUUAUGGUGGGGACUCAGUGGAGACCGCCGGGGUCAACUCGGAGGAAGGUGGGGAUGACGUCAAGUCAUCAUGCCCCUUAUGUCCAGGGCUUCACGCAUGCUACAAUGGCUGGUACAGAGAGUGGCGAGCCUGUGAGGGUGAGCGAAUCUCGGAAAGCCGGUCUCAGUUCGGAUUGGGGUCUGCAACUCGACCUCAUGAAGUCGGAGUCGCUAGUAAUCGCAGAUCAGCAACGCUGCGGUGAAUACGUUCCCGGG